UACGGGGGGAGCAAGCGUUGUUCGGAUUUACUGGGCGUAAAGGGCGCGUAGGCGGCCAGCACAAGUCAGUUGUGAAAUCUCCGAGCUUAACUCGGAAAGGUCAACUGAUACUGUGCGGCUAGAGUGCGGAAGGGGCAACUGGAAUUCUUGGUGUAGCGGUGAAAUGCGUAGAUAUCAAGAGGAACACCUGAGGUGAAGACGGGUUGCUGGGCCAACACUGACGCUGAGGCGCGAAAGCCAGGGGAGCAAUCGGG
rnacentral:rRNA from 1 species